CGUACACCUCCAGGCUUUCCCCAGGAGCACGCGCCCGGGCUGUCAGGCUGGCUCUGAAGCGGUCCAUCAACUGCCUCUGUCCAAAAGCCGCCCCAAGUCUCUCCUUCACCAUAGUAAAAUCCGACUUGGUCGCCCCAGGGAGGCUGUCCCACAGCAGGAACGCGGACUUGCCGAGACGAGUAGGCAGAAUCCUCACUAACUCCUCCUCACAGUUGCCGCCGCUCCUGGCUGUGGCGCCGACGGCCACCUCCAGUUGUCUCGCCCAGCUGAGGAAACUCUGGCUUCCGUCCCCGGUGAAAGGAGGGGGGAGAUCAAUCUUAACAUCACCGCCCGCACCGCACGAGAUUAGCCAGCAAGCUAUAUCGGAGAUGCUAAGCUAUCCAACUGGCACGUAGCCGUCACGGACAAAAA